rnacentral:lncRNA from 1 species
AGUAUUCCGCGGACCGGCGGUGGGUCCGCAGCCCUGGCUGUUUUGCAAAAAUUAGGUCAUCCGCACCGACCCCUCCACGUAUCACCAUCGGUACCGAGAGUACGGUAUGGUUCACGCGGUUACACAAAGGUCAGAGCAAUGUUUUAGCGUAAUAUUUCUUCUACCAUUUUCAGUUAACCGCCGCAAUAAUGAAUGUUUAAACGUCGAAGCAAAUACGAAUAGCGAAAUAAAUAAACUCCCUGAUCUAAAACGCAACGUUCGAAUUGAACUCACCUCGCUGAAGAUGGAUGCGAUGCAUUAAAAUGUAUACUAGAACGCGAGAAGAGCGCUUCGAGAUCUCGAAAACAACUCUGCGAUAAUUUAUUGAUCACAAAUCGGUAUUUCGAUAUGGCGUAUCGCGCAGUCCUUCUCGCUGCAUCUCGAUACCCGUCCCCGUAUCGUAGUGAUUACAGACGAGUAUCGGAUAAUUGGAUAAUUAGCGUGCACGGCCAAUCUAGCUGUUGGAACCGUCAGUGUCACUUGAACAGAAACGAUCAUUUCGUACAUGACUGCACGUACGUGACGCACUGGCGCACAUAAUGCGGCGCACGCAAGCUGUCAUUGACAUCGAUAAAUGACCGUUAAAGUGUUAAAAGUACCGUCUUAUUCAAUCAAUUAGUCUCACGACAAUGAUGUACGUAAAUGAUGAUAAUCGCGUGUAAAAGAACGUAUCAUAAAAUCAGACAUGUACAAUACAUUACCACUGAAAAACAUUAUUUAUAAGCCGACUCUUUGUAUAUAGAGAAAUAAUUGAAGAUAAAUGCCGCGAGGGAGUUUUAAUGAACAAAUAAUAACAAACAGUAUAUGCGAAAACCAAUCAGCUUCGGCAUCUCAUAUGAGUGUAGAUCGACUUGAUGCUGAAAACACGGGAGAUAUAAUGAGAGCUACUGUGUGAUCCCACGUGAAAUUUCCGUCGUCAUCAUCUCUCUUUCUCUGAUAUAAGAGAUAUUAUAGAAGAAUAAGAGCCACAACCUACCGAUAAAAACCGGCACUAAGCUCCAGACACAUGUUUUUACGACGCCAAAGACGUAGAAGCAUUACAUCCUUUUACGAUACCACCCCCAUUUUAUGAUCGUUGCGUGUUUCUCAUUGCGGUCUAUUUAUUUAUUUAUUUAUGUACUUGUAUCACUAGUAUGCACAUAAAUGCAUUAGUUUAAAUUAACGUGUAUUUCUAACCUCCUUUGGUACUAUUUUUUAAACUUUGGGUGAUUGCGUGAAAUUGCACAAUAUCACAGGCAAUUAUUUUCAUCAAAAUAACGCUUGUAAAUUUUUUCUUAUAAAGAAGAUUAACUUAAUCUUUUAAAUCUCCAAUUUUUUUGUUCAUCGAGGACAAAAUUAUAACAUUAAUCUAUUGCUUAAAUUAAAGACUUUUUGUAGAUUAAGUUCGAACUAUUUUAGGUUAAUAACAAAAAUAUUAAUCCUUAAUAUAAAAAAACAAACAUAAAUAUUUCAUAUUUGAUCAAUUUCUAUCUAUAAAAGUUUCUUAAAAUUUCCCUUUCUUUAUUUCUUUUGAAAAAAUUUUAUAGUUAAGGUGACUUAUACGAUAAGGUAACCGAGAGAUCCUACUUCAAUUUUUCUACAAACACUACCAAUUUUAUUUUUGUAUCAGAUAUCAAUAUCAGAUGUAUGUAAUAAACAUUGAUUUUUAUAAAAAGUGAAAGUUCUUUUUUAAUUAUUCAUAUCGUAAAUAUUCCAUUUUCAUUCUAAAUUAGUGUCAAUUUUCGUUUAAAAAUUAUUUUUCUAAAAAAAAAAUUUGUUUUAAAGAAACCUAUUUAAAAAGGAGAUUUAAAAAUCAUUGAAUAUUUAAAAAAUACUUCUUUUUCGUGAUUUUUCUAGUUCAUAUCACUUAUGUUCAUAAAUUAUUAGAGAUUUUAAUUACUUCAAAUAAGUCAAAAAGUGAACGAAAUGUCCAUAUAAUAAGAGAUAAGAUACCGUAUUUUUAUGUUAUAUUGUAAGAGUUAAAUAAAAAAAUUCAUUAAAGAAAAGGUGAUACGUUUUAUUACCGUGUACGUUGUUUGUCCUUCAUUGCGCGUUUAUUUAAUAUCAAUCUCCCGACAAAGCAAUGCUUCUACAAUAUAUUCUGAUCGUCAAAAAUUAUACAGAUUUAGUCGAGAAAAUCGUAUAAAAAAAAAGAUAUUAACGGAUCAAUUUUCCAUAGGUAUCGGUACUAUCACCAGACUCAAUGAAGUUUAUAUCGUUCGAACCGUAUGUUCCUGAAAGGGCAAACCUCCCGAUAAUUCCAUAUAUGUUCUAAUCUGACCAGAAAUAGAGAUUACUUAGUGAUUUUGCCGACAGCAAUUUAUCGAUAUAUUGGCACGCAACCUGUCCGAUAAUAAAGAGUAAAUAAAGACUAAAAUAGAUUAUGCUCUCGUUGCAGGAAAAACUCCAUAAGAGAAGUGGUAAGCUCGAAAGGCCGAUCAUAUGCAACAAACGAGAAUGAAAAUAAUGCACAAAACAGACUCUCUUCGUUACAUUAAUAUUGAAGCUAAUAAAUUAUUAUUUACUUUCAGUGAUUGUUCAUUUGUGUGUACAAUACAUUCAUAGAAAUUGUAUAAAACAAUAAUCACGGAAUAUAAUUGAUAAUUUGAGCAUUGAUGGAAGAGCUUGAGCGUGAUCAUUUUGGCGCAACGCUAACGAACGUGUACGGGUUGUAAAUAUCAACGAACGUUGUUGGCUCAUGUUGAUACAAUGUAACGGCAAUUCGCAUGCAAUUGGCGAGAUGUUAUAGGCCAUUAGAGUUGUUCUCGCAUAAAGCACACAGCGCGAUGUAAACCCAGACUGAGCGUAACAAGUUGAUAUAUACGCGCAAUAACAGGAUGUUUAUGCAUAAUGCAAACGGUAGGUAAGUUGUUGAGGUAAGUUCCAAAUACCUCGCGCACAAGACAUUCGCAGGGAUCCCAAGUGGCUGAAAUUCUUUCCUUCUUGUGGGAAUUCGUUCCCCGCCGCGAACGUGAUCCGCGAAAUAUUCUCAUUGGUGCCGGUGUGCACAUAUGACGGCGCAUACAUGACAAUACACGCGCAAGGCGACGCCUCACUACGAGAGUAUCACGGACCACCUAUUGUUACCAAAUUUACUUCACAACCCGACGGAAAAUCGAUACGCUUCAGAUGACUUCGUGUAUCACAUUACUCGCGCACUGAUAUUCUUUUUCUAACGUUUAAUACGUAACGGCUUUACGUAUCACAUUACCAGUUACAAAAAUAUAUAGUCACGAAACUAAUUGUUCAGGCACGGUGAGUUUAUUUUAUGUUAUUUUUAAAUUCACCAAAUAUUAUAAUUCUUAAGGAAAAACUCGAUUUAAAGUAAAAAAACUCUUGCUAGUGACUCUUUGAAGAUUUAUGUGACUAUUCGACUAAAUCUUAAUUACGAUAAAUGAUUUAUAUUAUGUAAUAUAAAAUAAAAUCUUGGAUUUUUUCUUUCUCUAAAAUAUAAAAAAUAUAGACAUACCGAGUAAAAAAUCAACAGAAUAAAAUAACAUAUAUAUCAGCAAUAGAAGACAAAUAUUCCUUAGAGCAUGAAAUGCGAAUAUGUCAUUCUGUCGUAAGAUAAUAUGGCAACCUGAAGAUAAUUAUCUAUAUGAGUGCAGACGGAACAGAAUCCUAGCUAUUCUCCAGCAGGAAAUUUGAAAACGUUAACCAGUGAAGAAUACCGAGGUUUGUACUUUCAAUCAAAUCAAGGUUGAACUAGUAGCGAACUGUAAUUUGAUUUCUUUGCAUGAAUAAAACAUUUUCCGCGAAAUUAA